UUCGAGUGGCGGACGGGUGAGUAACGCGUGGGUAACCUGCCUUACACAGGGGGAUAACACCUGGAAACAGGUGCUAAUACCGCAUAAGCGCACAGGGCCGCAUGGCCCGGUGUGAAAAACUCCGGUGGUGUAAGAUGGACCCGCGUCUGAUUAGCUUGUUGGCGGGGUAGGGGCCCACCAAGGCGACGAUCAGUAGCCGGCCUGAGAGGGCGGACGGCCACAUUGGGACUGAGACACGGCCCAGACUCCUACGGGAGGCAGCAG
rnacentral:rRNA from 1 species